rnacentral:rRNA from 1 species
UACGUAGGGUGCAAGCGUUAAUCGGAAUUACUGGGCGUAAAGCGUGCGCAGGCGGUUAUAUAAGACAGUUGUGAAAUCCCCGGGCUCAACCUGGGAACUGCAUCUGUGACUGUAUAGCUAGAGUACGGUAGAGGGGGAUGGAAUUCCGCGUGUAGCAGUGAAAUGCGUAGAUAUGCGGAGGAACACCGAUGGCGAAGGCAAUCCCCUGGACCUGUACUGACGCUCAUGCACGAAGCGUGGGAGCAACAGG